GACGAACGCUGGCGGCGUGCUUAACACAUGCAAGUCGAACGGAAAUGCCCUGCUUUUGUGGGGUUCUCGAGUGGCGAACGGGUGAGUAACACGUGAGUAACCUGCCCUUUACUUUGUGAUAACUUCAGGAAACUGGGGCUAAUACCGGAUAGGAGCUCCUGCUGCAUGGUGGUGGUUGGAAAGUUUCGGCGGUUGUGGAUGGACUCGCGGCUUAUCAGCUUGUUGGUGGGGUAGUGGCUUACCAAGGCUUUGACGGGUAGCCGGCCUGAGAGGGUGACCGGCCACAUUGGGACUGAGAUACGGCCCAGACUCCUACGGGAGGCAGCAGUGGGGAAUAUUGCACAAUGGGCGGAAGCCUGAUGCAGCAACGCCGCGUGCGGGAUGACGGCCUUCGGGUUGUAAACCGCUUUCGCCUGUGACGAAGCGUGAGUGACGGUAAUGGGUAAAGAAGCACCGGCUAACUACGUG
rnacentral:rRNA from 1 species